UACAGAGGGGGCAAGCGUUGUUCGGAAUUACUGGGCGUAAAGGGCGCGUAGGCGGCCUGUUAAGUCGAACGUGAAAUCCCCGGGCUCAACCCGGGAACUGCGUCCGAUACUGGCAGGCUUGAAUCCGGGAGAGGGAUGCGGAAUUCCAGGUGUAGCGGUGAAAUGCGUAGAUAUCUGGAGGAACACCGGUGGCGAAGGCGGCAUCCUGGACCGGUAUUGACGCUGAGGCGCGAAAGCCAGGGGAGCAAAAGGG
rnacentral:rRNA from 1 species